rnacentral:rRNA from 1 species
UACGUAGGGUUCAAGCGUUAAUCGGAAUUACUGGGCGUAAAGCGUGCGCAGGCGGUUAUGUAAGACAGUUGUGAAAUCCCCGGGCUCAACCUGGGAACUGCAUCUGUGACUGCAUAGCUAGAGUACGGUAGAGGGGGAUGGAAUUCCGCGUGUAGCAGUGAAAUGCGUAGAUAUGCGGAGGAACACCGAUGGCGAAGGCAAUCCCCUGGACCUGUACUGACGCUCAUGCACGAAAGCGUGGGGAGCAAACAGG